rnacentral:rRNA from 1 species
UACGUAGGGUGCAAGCGUUGUCCGGAAUUAUUGGGCGUAAAGGGUGCGUAGGCGGUCGGGUAAGUCUGACGUGAAAUCCCGCAGCUCAACUGCGGAACUGCGUCGGAUACUAUUCGGCUUGAGGAAUGGAGGGGAGACUGGAAUUCUCGGUGUAGCAGUGAAAUGCGUAGAUAUCGAGAGGAACACCAGUGGCGAAGGCGAGUCUCUGGACAUUUCCUGACGCUGAGGCACGAAAGCCAGGGGAGCAAACGGG